rnacentral:lncRNA from 1 species
GUUUGCUAAGUAUUUUAAAUGCCACUUCAGUAGCAAUAAUCAGUGUUUAUUUCUUACACAAUAGUACUGGUCGUUAGCGCUUAUUUCACUAUUUAUCAGUUACCUCUUCAUAUAAAAGACGUCCCUUGGGAAAUGUUUCAUUAUUGUUAAACAAAUGUGUAUCAAGAAAAAAAAAAUGGUUAGCCUGCUUCACAAUAUAAAACGGAACGAAAAUAAACGAAAUUUUCAAAAACAUCAUACUUCAUACUUAAUUUGGCACUCGUUUUAACAUCAUAUCAGCGGGCUCCUGGAUGUCUUUAGCAGGAUUCAGUCUGUUGCAAGCAUCUGAGGGCCAGGUCUCCGAUCACUUGAGCACUGCCUCACUCCGAUCACUUGAGCACUGCCUUACUCCGAUCACUUGAGCAUUGCCUUACUCCGAUCACUUGAGCACUGCCUUAAAAUAUAUGCAUAAAAUAUAUGCAAAUGUUGUAAAACAUAUUGAAGGAUUUAAAAGAAAUGAAACUCAUCACAGCUUUUGACAAAAUAAUUGAAAAGGAAAUUUAACUAACUAGUGAUAUUUUAAAACAUAAUUUACAAUAAGUAAAAAUAAUCCACUGUCAGAUAUGGAAGUGAAAUUCUAAAUUAAGAGCAAAAUCAGUUAAAGGAAUUUCUUGCAUUCCAGUUUUCUGCGACACUCAUUGCAGAGCAUGCAAGGGGAAUCACGAAGGAAUGGCAUUUUCAGAAAUAUCAUCAAAAAACAAAUCGGAAAUAUGUAUUAUUAUUAAAGAAACUUCAUUAAUUUUAAUUAAAACUAUAUCUGUAAAUUUUUUCGGUUUGAACGGAAGUUUUUAACAUAAUUUCUAGGUAACUAAAAAAUUUUAAACUUCGUAUACUGGUAGAAUGUGUUUAUAAAACAUCUUUUUCUCUUGGCUUUAUUGAGAAAAUUCUAUAGUUUGUAAGAUAUUUGUUGUGUUUUUUCUUCAAUUUCUACAAUUUCAACCAAUCAAUGACGUCCAUUGAGGUAAAAAAAAACAUUCUGUGCCGUAUGAAUAUGUCCCUCGUUUAAAAAACAGAUUGGGUUUAUUUACAUUUGUGAAGAAAAAAUGAUACCCUUCCCCCACCCCUAACCCUAACCCUAAAACAGAUGGAAAUGCAAUAGAUCGAUACUAGGGUCAUAAUUAUGGGUGACAAUUUCAUAUGACACCGCUAGAAAAAACUGCCGUUCAAACCGAAAAGAUCCACAAUAUUUCUUGAUUUGGUUGAACAAAUAAUAUUUUGCACAUGCUAAAUAAAACGUUUGAUGAUGCGGAAUUUGAUACAGAAUUAUUUUUAUCAAAUUUCACGGCAUUUUAUUCUGUUAGAUAUAGAAAGGUUAUAAGCUAGCAAUACCCUAAAUAAUUAUUCAAUUAUUAGAUACUUUGGACCCAUCUUCAGAAACAUUGAAAUCAGAGACCAAUAGAAAGAGAAGAAAGGUUGCGCGAAUUAACUUAGAAUAUUAAACUUCGAAAAUGAUUUAAAUGAUUUUCGUGAGUGAAGAAAACAGGACUCAGUUCAAAGAUUUUGUUGCUGCGGAAACAUUAAGGAAAGCAAAAUAUUGUAGCUAACAAAUUCUGAACAGAAUUGCCAUAUGAUUUGCCGAUACAGAAAAAGGAAUUUCGCAGCUUAAUAAGUGAUGAGAUAGCCAGUGUAUAUAACAACUAAACUCAAAUAAUACUUUACAACCCUCAUUUGUUUCUUACAAUAUUCUUCACUUUUGAUAAUAAAGUUCAUGUAGCACAGACGAGAGUUUACAAAGAUAUUCAAGAAGUCAUUCGAAAUGUAUUACCGGAUACGGAAUAUUAAAUUGUUUAAAUGCUACAAAGAAAUUUUAUUUCAAAAGUAUAAAAGUAUUGAUAUUCAUAUUUUUCAGAUAAUUCAUUACUUUUGCAAUUGAAUUUUGAUAAAUUUCAGAAAAGUUGUCGAUAUUUUACUGAUGAUCUCGAAACUUUUUAUAUCGAACCUUUGGUUGAAAUUUUUGUAUCUCAGCGAUAUUUAAGAGAUGAGGAAUUAUGCACAUUAUUUACAUUCGACGGAUAUUUGUCCUCUUCUUGUUUGUUGUUAACUCAACGUUUCGGCUGAUAUACCCUCCAGCCUUCUCUAGGUGUCUUGGGGAAAUUUCGAACUUGUGUUCUCAUUCCUAAGGUAUUUUUCGAUGUUGUUAGUAUUAUUAUUAUUAUUGUUGUUGUUGUUGUUGUUCAGGUCACUGCUAGGAAUCGAACUCGGAAUCUUGGGGUAUGUAGCCCGCGCUCUUAAACACUACACUAUAUGCCCCAAGACACCUGAAGAAGGCUGGAGGGUAUAUCAGCCGAACUUUGUGUUAACAACAAACAAGAUGAGGACAAAUAUCCGUCGAAUGUAAAUAAUGUGAUCAGCGAACAUGUUUUUCGAAAAAAGGGAAGGGAUGUCCAAAUGUGUGUGUAUGUGUUAUAUAAACACGCACACACACACACACACACACACACACACACACACACACACAUAUAUAUUAGAGGGUUUGGAGGUGAUGUACAGGUAUUAUAUAUUAGAGGAAAUAAGAUACUCAGAAUACAUGCUUAUAUAUAUAUAUAUAUAUAUAUAUAUAUAUAUAUAUAUAUAUAUAUAUAAGAAUGUAUUCAUAUACAAACGCCGAGUUUCACACACUUGAGCGUGUACACACAGCUACACUCACACCAACACGCUUAUAUACAUAUAUAUAUAUAUAUAUAUAUUUAUUUAUUUAUUUAUUUAUUUAUUUAUUUAUAUGUAUAUGAGUUAGUGAGUGUAUGCAUGUAUGUUUAUGUAUAUAUUUAUGUAUUUAUUUAUUCAUUUAUAUAUUAUAAUGUAGAGUCACUUGUUACAUGAGUCUUUACUUAGAGCUUCUAAGAAUAUCAUUUUCUACUCCAAACCGAAACACUGUGUUACUGUGUGAACUUUUUGCCCAAUAUCUGUUCAUUUACAUACAUACAUACAUAUAUCCAAACAUACAUAUAUACAUGCAUGCAUACGCACGCACAGACACAUGCACGCACGCACACACACACACACACUCUUACAUACAUGCAUACAUACAUACAUGCAUACAUACAUACAUACAUACAUAAAUACAUACAUACAUACAUACAUACAUACAUACAUACAUACAUACAUACAUACAUACAUACAUACAUACAUACUUGUGUGUUAUUUACAUUUACGCUUUAUUAUUUGCAGUUUCAGUAUGACAGUGAAUUAACAUAAGAUGCC